GCCUGGGUGGCUCAGUCGGUUGAGCAUCCGGCUUCGACUCAGGUCAUGAUCUCGUGGUUCGUGAGUUCGAGCCCCACGUCGGGCU
rnacentral:tRNA from 1 species